CCCGCUGAACUUAAGCAUAUUACUAAGCGGAGGAAAAGAAACUAACAAGGAUGCCCUCAGUAACAGCGAGUGAAGUGGGCAAAGCUCAAAUUUAAAAUCUGGGUUACUUUAUUCGUAACUCCGAAUUGUAGUUUUUCGAUUGGAUAUCACGGUACGGUUAGAUGUAAGUGCAAGUUCUUUGGAACAAGGCUUCAUAGAGGGUGAGAAUCCCGUACAAAACUUCACUAGCCGUACAAUACGUGUUAUUCAUUCGCCGAGUCGGGUUGUUUGGGAAUGCAGCCCUAAUUAGGUGGUAGAUCUCAUCUAAAGCUAAAUAUUUCGGGGAGACCGAUAGCAAAGAAGUACUGUGAAGGAAAGGUGAAAAGAACUUUGAAAAGAGGGUCAAAAGUGCUUGAAAUUGUUAAAAGGGAACGGAACGGAAUCAGUGUUUGUGAAUGUUUAAUUCAGUUUGACUUUCUAUAAUCAUAUCUUUUCACGGAGAUGUAAUGUCACGGUAGAAGAAUGAUAGUUUAGAAGGUCAGGCGCAUUUUAGGCAUUCACGUGUCAGCAUGGUUCUAAUCAAAUGCAGAAGGGUAGAGAGAAGGUGGAUUGAUAAAUACCUGCGUGUUUAUCAAUUGUUAUAACUCUUUAUCAAAUACACUUGAAUGGAAUAAGGUCGGGAAUGUACGCCUCGGCAGUUCAUUUGGCUGACACUGAAUAAGCAAGUGUAAGAUGUUCUGUGAACUCUUUUGUUUGUCUUGUUUAGUUAGAGGUCAAAUAGCUUGUACAUUCUGAUGUUGACGAAAUGGUUUCGUUCCCCCCGUCUUGAAACACGG
rnacentral:rRNA from 1 species